rnacentral:lncRNA from 1 species
UUUAGUUUUGGGAAUUCCAUAUUCUGAUUUUUUUGAGGUAACUCUUUUACCUUUGUUUAUAUGCUUAUUCUUUGUUCUCUGUGUCUAUUAGUUUGUUUCUGAACCGAAAUUAACUUGUUCUUAAAUUCAUUCUUUUGAUUUGAUUUUUUGAAUAUCAAGUUUAUUCCUAUUUUUAACUUCUGUGGUUUAAAUAGUGUCUGCCAAUAAUGUUGUGAGAAUGCAAUUUAUUAGUUCCAUGGUUCAUGUAGUGGACCUCCAUGAUUUCCCCAUUAGUAUCAUUGCUUGACGUAUGGCAAACAUCGAAUUAGUUGGAGCAGACCUCGAUUUGGCUCCAGAUCCCAAUCUCAACAUCUUGAGUGGUCAUCAGGUAAACGGAGUAGGACAAAUAUAAACUCUUCAUAAAAAAAAAAAACAAUGAAUCAAUAUUUUCAUAUGCAUUGAGUAUUAUUUAUGAGUUGCUUCUCAUGUUCUGUGAAUAGCUGUGACAUGAGGAACAAAAGCAUUUAACAACUUGGACUAAUUCUAUAUUUGUUCCUUCCAGAUAAGGAAAAAAAGGAUGUGAAAGAAUAUAUUUUUCUUCUAAGUUGUUGAAUUUCUUUUAUUUAUCGAUAUGUGAUAUUCCAACUCUUCAUCACUACUGAAAUCCAUAUGAUAUUGCGAUUAAUUCGUUUUUGCCUAAACUCAAUUACUCAAACAAAACUAGAUCUUCAUUAUUUAUUUGUUUUUUCCUUUUUACUAUUUUAACUGAGUGAAUAUCAUAUCCUAAUGCGUUUGAUUAAUUUUGGGGUUUCACUUGCACACAAUAGCCUAUAUCGAAGGAGACAAGUACUAUGGUACAAAAGCAACUAUUAAUGUUUGGGAACCUAAAAUACAGCAGCAUCAUAACAAGUUCAAUUUGUCCCAAAUUUGGUUACUGGGUGGCUCAUUUGGUGAAGAUCUCAAUAGCAUUAAAGCUGGUUGGUAGGUAUAUUUGUCACCAAAUUACUUGGUCGAUCAUAAUUUGUUGCAUUCAUCUAACGGAUUAGAAUGCAUGUUAUUUCAAGUUAGCUCCGAUUUAAGUACAUAUCUAUAGAAAAUUUAAAAAAGAAUGCCAUUUCACAUUAAAUAGAAGUUAAUUAUAAGUACAAAAACUCGAAGAAAGCAUUUAAUGGAUGUUCUUAACAGUUAGUCUUGUGUUUUGGAACAUGCUUAUAUUAUGUGACAAUUAUGUUUCUCUUCCAAUCCAAUUUAGCACAUAGAGUAAAAGCUUCAAUUGCACCCAAUGUCAGAUGUCUUUGAUAACUAGAGCUAAUUGGUUAUAUGUAGAGGAAAUUUUACUAUUAGUUCAUCCCAAGCAUAAAUAAAAUAGUUAAUCCCUAAGAAAGCUGGAGUGUAGUAUGAAUCAUGCUGUAAAUUUCUCUGUUAAAAUAAUUUUUCUUAUAUUUGUAGUUUUUUUUCAUGGGACAAGCUUUGAGAAAUCGUUUGGCAAUGAUGAGAGAAGAGAAAGAAAAUCCAAUUUUGAGAAUUCUUAAAAUGAGAAUUGAUUCCCUAAAAAAGAAAGCACUGAACGUGUCUUCAAAGUCAAGCAUUCUUUCAAGAAGAGCAGCAGAAGUAAGAGUGGUGUUAGUGGCAACUUUGUUUCAUUUGAGGAUAUUCAGGAUGCUGAUGAGCUGCAAGCUAUUAAGGCAUUUCGGCGAGCCUUGAUGCUAAUUGCCAAACAAGUUUGAUGAUUGUCAUAUGAUGUUGAGGUUAUUAUAUAACGCUUUUGCUACUUUUAGUCAAAUGUUUGCAAGUACGGAUGGAAAUAUAAAUUGUAUCCUAGUUUAACUUGUAGAUGUCCUUAUUUUGUUCUCAUUACUAUGGAGGUAACUAGACAUCCCUUCCUCUAGUAGGAUAAUUUAUGAUUUUGCUGGAUUAUUUUAUAGUUUUCCCUGUAUUGUAGUCGAUGGUUAAGGUUUGAGGGAUUGCAUUUAUUAGUCUUUCCAGAUAAGUUAUUUUGUUUUUCUUGUAAACAUUUUAGUAUAUAAUUGGAAAAGUAUGCAAAUAUUCAAACUUUUGUUGAUAAUUAU